GACGAACGCUGGCGGCGUGCUUAACACAUGCGAGUCGAACGGAAAGGCCCUGCUUUUGUAGGGUGCUCGAGUGGCGAACGGGUGAGUAACACGUGAGUAACCUGCCCUUGACUUUGGGAUAACUUCAGGAAACUGGGGCUAAUACCGGAUAGGAGCUCCUGCUGCAUGGUGGGGGUUGGAAAGUUUCGGCGGUUGGGGAUGGACUCGCGGCUUAUCAGCUUGUUGGUGGGGUAGUGGCUUACCAAGGCUUUGACGGGUAGCCGGCCUGAGAGGGUGACCGGCCACAUUGGGACUGAGAUACGGCCCAGACUCCUACGGGAGGCAGCAGUGGGGAAUAUUGCACAAUGGGCGGAAGCCUGAUGCAGCAACGCCGCGUGCGGGAUGACGGCCUUCGGGUUGUAAACCGCUUUCGCCUGUGACGAAGCGUGAGUGACGGUAAUGGGUAAAGAAGCACCGGCUAACUACGUG
rnacentral:rRNA from 1 species